GAUGAAGAACGUAGCGAAAUGCGAUAAGUAAUGUGAAUUGCAGAAUUCAGUGAAUCAUCGAAUCUUUGAACGCACAUUGCGCCCGCCAGUAUUCUGGCGGGCAUGCCUGUUCGAGCGUCAUUUCAACCAUCAAACCCCCGGCUUGUGUUGGGGACCUGCGGCUGCCGCAGGCCCUGAAAAGCAGUGGCGGGCUCGCUGUCACACCGAGCGUAGUAGCAUACAUCUCGCUCUGGGCGUGCUGCGGGUUCCGGCCGUUAAACCACCUUCAUAACCCAAGGUUGACCUCGGAUCAGGUAGGAAGACCCGCUGAACUUAAGCAUAUCAAUAAGCGGAGGA
rnacentral:misc_RNA from 1 species